rnacentral:rRNA from 1 species
UACCUGCAGCUCGAGUGGUGGCCGCUAUUAUUGGGCCUAAAACGUCCGUAGCCGGUUUAAUAAAUGCCUGGGUAAAUCGUGUAGCUUAACUAUACGAAUUCCGGGUAGACUGUUGGACUUGAGACCGGGAGAAGCUAGAGGUACUCCUGGGGUAGAGGUGAAAUUCUGUAAUCCUAUGGGGACCACCAGUGGCGAAGGCGUCUAGCUAGAACGGGUCUGACGGUGAGGGACGAAGCCCUGGGGCGCAAACCGGAUUAGAUACCCGGGUAGUCCAGGGUGUAAACGCUGCUUGCUUGAUGUUAGUUGGGCUCUGAGCCCAAUUAGUGUCGGGGAGAAGUUGUUAAGCAAGCUGCCUGGGUAGUACGGCCGCAAGGCUGAAACUUAAAGGAAUUGGCGGGGGAGCACCACAAGGCGUGAAGCUUGCGGUUC